CUUAGGGGACUCGCGUUUUCACACAACACCCUUUUAAAAAGUGUAGAAUGACCUCAUUUAUGCGAUCAAUACAACUUUCAACAACGGAUCUCUUGGCUCUCGCAUCGAUGAAGAACGCAGCGAAAUGCGAUACGUAAUGUGAAUUGCAGAAUUCAGUGAAUCAUCGAAUCUUUGAACGCACCUUGCGCCCCUUGGUAUUCCGAGGGGCACACCCGUUUGAGCGUCGUGAAAUUCUCAACCUCCUCGGUUUCUUCUGGAGACUGAAGGAGGCUUGGACUCGUGUCUCGCCAGCUCCUCUUAAAUGAAUUAGCGUGGUCCUCUUUGCCGAACCUCGACACGUGAUAAGAUGCUUCCGUGUCUCGGUUUCUGGCUCUGUUGCUUUUGGGACCCGCUUCUAACCGUCUGGACCUUGCGUCGAGACAAUGUUCGAGCUCGUAUCCCUUCUUGGGAAACCCCCUCGACCCCACGAACCCUUGGCCUCAAAUCGGGUGAGACUACCCGCUGAACUUAAGCAUAUCAA
rnacentral:misc_RNA from 1 species